UAAGGAAUAUUGGUCAAUGGACGCAAGUCUGAACCAGCCAUGCCGCGUGAAGGAUGAAGGUCCUCUGGAUUGUAAACUUCUUUUAUCUGGGACGAAAACGGGAUUUUUAUCUCAAUUGACGGUACCAGAGGAAUAAGCACCGGCUAACUCCGUGCCAGCAGCCGCGGUAAUACGGAGGGUGCGAGCGUCAUCCGGAUUUACUGGGUUUAAAGGGUGCGUAGGUGGGCUUAUAAGUCAGUGGUGAAAUCUCCGAGCUUAGCUUGGAAACUGCCGUUGAUACUAUAGGUCUUGAAUUAUCUGGAGGUAAGCUGAAUAUGUCAUGUAGCGGUGAAAUGCUUAGAUAUGACAUAGAACACCAAUUGCGAAGGCAGCUUACUACAUAUAAAUUGACGCUGAGGCACGAAAGCGUGGGGAUCAAACA
rnacentral:rRNA from 1 species